AUCCCCCUGCUUCACCGAAACCUUGCGUACCACGCGAGGCACUUUAUAGGUGAAGUGGGGGGAU
rnacentral:ncRNA from 1 species